rnacentral:lncRNA from 1 species
ACAAAGGAAUUAAUGAUAUCACAAUAAAGAAGUUAUCUUACUACCUUGAACUAUGAACUAGUUAAGGUUGAUAGAUAAAUCUCAAUACAUAAGUAACAAAUGUUUAAAAGAACUUUUAAAGUAUAAUACUCUUAAUUAAUAAUGAACCGCCACAAUGAAUGAAAAGAACUCCUAUUUUUAGGAGUAAAAUAUCCUUAAAAUUAGGUGGGAU